rnacentral:rRNA from 2 species
CUGAACCAGCCAAGUAGCGUGAAGGCACAAGGCUCGACGGGUCGUAAACUUCUUUUAUAUAAGAAUAAAGUGCAGUAUGUAUACUGUUUUGUAUGUAUUAUAUGAAUAAGGAUCGAAUAACUCCGUGCCAGCAGCCGCGGUAAUAUUAAGGAUCCGAGCGUUAUCCGGAUUUAUUGGGUUUAAAGGGAGCGUAGGUGGACUGGUAAGUCAGUUGUGAAAGUUUGCGG